rnacentral:lncRNA from 1 species
GGGACGAGCCGGAUGAGGGCGGGGACCCGGCUGCGAGCGGCGAGGACGACCUCGGGCGGGAAGCGGCGGACGAGCACGAGGUGGGGCUGGAGGUGCUCCGCGGCGGCGCCCUCGCAGGCAACUUAGAGGAGGGGGACGGCGCCCCCCAGACCGAGGCAGAGUCAGCGUUCAGCCUCUCGAAGCACUUACCACAUCGAGCCUACUGGGCAGAGCAGCAGAACAGGUUGCCACUGCCCCUGGUGGAACUCAUGGAGAAAGAAGUUCUGGAAAUCCUUACCAGGGCCCUCCACAGCUACCGCUCCGGGAUCGGCUGGGACCACUUGCUGACCAAGCAGCUGCAGCGACACGUCGAGGAGCUCAAGAAGCGCCGGAACAAGAGGCUGAAUGUCUUACUGAACUGAGAGCACCGCCACCGGCUCGAGCGCUCCGACUCCAGCCCGGGUCCCUGCCCCGUCCCCAGACCCAAGCCCGACCCCGUCCGCGUGGAAUCUGAACCCUCGAGAAAUAAAAGUCUUUGCAUGGUCCGCGAGUCAGUGCGUGGUUGCCCGCUGGAGACGGACGCCGUGGCUCCGCCCUUCUCCGUGACCUUCACUCGGUCACCGCAGUGACCUUGAGCCUUCUCGGUCCAAGCCCUAUCGGCCCCGCCUUCCAGGGACUCGAAAUCCAGGGCUUCGGCGUGUUUUAGCUCCGCUUUUCUUGCCCCGGCUUCGGCAGCUCGGCGGGAAUAUUGGGUCUGGGGUCCAGGUUCCCCGAUCGGGUUGCCUUGGGGGGAGGGAAAAGGAAAAGGGGCAGCGCCUUCUCUCCUGCCGGGCCCCGCCCCUUGUGCAUAUGCAGAUGAGCCAACGACUCCGCUCUUCCCGCCCUCUCGUUUACAUAUGUAUAGCGUUUCCUUUCCCAGCAGCUGCGGCCACUAAGCGACCUGGCCCGCUCGUCGCGCGCCCGGCGCGCCCGGUCCCCUCGGUUUCGUAACAGCGCUCCGCACCCCGCCCGUUCCCAUUCCCUGCGCACCUUCGCGUCGCCGCUGGCC